UACGUAGGUGGCAAGCGUUGUCCGGAAUUACUGGGCGUAAAGCGUGCGUAGGCGGUUCGCUGUGUCCGAUGUGAAAGCCCCGGGCUUAACCUGGGAACGGCCUCGGAUACUGGCGGCCUCGAGCGGGGUAGGGGCGUGCGGAACUGUGGGUGGAGCGGUGAAAUGCAUUGAUAUCCACAGGAACUCCGGUGGCGAAGGCGGCACGCUGGACCUUUUCUGACGCUGAGGCGCGAAAGCCAGGGGAGCGAACGGG
rnacentral:rRNA from 1 species